ACAUAUAUUAUCUGUCUUAGACCUUAUUAAGGAAUUGACAGAAUCUGAAGAUAGGGUAUGGUUAUAAACGAAAUAUUUCGUGUGACUGAGUACUCCGUCGUAAAAAUGAAAAAAACGUAUUUGAGUACUGAAAUCAGUACUUGUUGUCAUCCAUAGUUAGAAGUAAAAUCAACUGUUAAGUGAUAACAAUUUGAGUGACAGAGUCUAAUUGGAGCACAAGUUGUCAGUGUGAACAUAGUAAUAUUUUGCCAGUCAGUUUAUCUGUGCAGUCUGACCAAUUAUAAUAGGCUCGACAUAUAUGAAGGUCUGUUCUGGUAAUAAAUAAUUUAAUUUUGUGGUGAAAUUGCAACUUAAAUUAACUCCAUACAUAUGAGAACGAAUAUCAUUGUUACAUUAUAAUUGUUUUUAAAAUAAACUUAUGUUGAAAAGUUAUGUUGAAAAAUUUACCUACAUAUAUAUUUGUAUUUAUAGGUGAACAAAGAUGUUGUGGACUAAUAAUAUCUGUCAUAUGUUGCGGUUCGGACCGGAAUGUCCGUCCCGAGGGGACCCGCCCAUUGGGCGGUAACGAGGCUUGCCGAGUUACCGCCCAUGGGCGGGUUCCCGAGGGACGGAUAUUUCGAUCCGAACCGCAAACAUAUGUUAGAUAUUUUUUCUUGCAUAUUCUGCCAUAUUAUUUCAUAUCUAAAAUGGUUUACCUCAAUAUGAUAUAUGUGCAUGGAAAUUAAAGUCAUUUCAUCAAUAACUAUUUUCUUACAAUAGCGUAUGAACUUACAACUUUAAUAACAACGGCGAAAUGACGUCAUCCUAAGCACAUAUUUCCCUUCUAAAACGACGUCAUUUACCGCGGUUCAUUCAUAAAGUGCGCUAAAAUGACGUUGUUGUUUGGCACGCGACUCAUCUGGCACCCCCCAUGCAAGAUGAAAUUUCCGGCAUGGGUAAAACUCACGGAAACGCCAGUCUGCUAUGCAAGAAAUGUAUAUUCCAAGGUUGUUAGAGGCUCUUCUAAUUCGUUUUAGUGAUGACAGCUGGACAGUUAGAGAUGGUAAAAUGUGUAAAUCAUACCUGAGUCCUUGCAAAGAAUUUUCCUGUGGGUAUUUGCAUGAACUUGACACUUAUUUUAGGGUCAUCUAUACCAGCAUUGUAUCCACUGUUUUUCAACAAUCUACAAGAUAAUAUACAUUCAGUGCGGCAGAGGCGGCCCUUGCUCUCCCCAGUGUAUAUGAUCAACUAAGCGUUCCAAGAUCUGAUAUGAAGAAAUUUGCAGAGGAGGUGUUUUAUGUUGUGCGUCAUUAGGAGAAAGAAAUAGUCUCUAUAGUUUCCAGUGCCGUAGAUGAAUUCUAGGAACAAAUACAGUAUGGGGAGCCAUUUACCGAUCUCAACCAUUCAGAAGCAUUUUAUACACAUGAAGAGAUUGGCUCAGAUUUGAUCAGUAACAGUAGACGUGUGUUCAAGAAACUAAUAUUUGACUUAUAUGGAAAAUUAUAAAGAGGAAGGAUAUGAUUCUCCCGUUGCUUGGCACAAACCAAAACUAACAAGUUUUAUAAAGUUAAAUGAGUGAUCUGAGUGUAUAAGAGCUUGCACAUGAAUUUUAUAUUCUUGGGUUUGAAUUGAG